CCCGGAGAUCGACAGGCCGCUCGCCCAAUCGCGCUACGCCGCCGGGGCGGGUCCGCGGGCGCGGGGGUGGGACGAAACGAGGUAAACAGCGGCCGCCCUGGGAGGUCCGGGGCGGAGAGCAGCCGAGCGGCCGCCGGUGCCCACUCCCGCAGGCCCGCCCCUCGGGCUGUGACCUCCGGAGCCUGAGCAGCCCCUCGUGGCAGUCCCCGCGCCGGAAGCCCCGGAGCCCGGGAUGAGGCCGGAAUUUCAGAGCGGAGAACAGCCGCAGAGACCACCCCACCGCUUCCUUGCUGCGGACGGGCACACGGACCCGAGCUGAGAGGGGACUUGCCAAAAGGCACGUAAGCAUCUGGAGCUGAGCCAGAGCUGGAGCUCAGGGCCCCAGAGUUGGGUCCAGGGCGCUCCUGGACAACUUCAUAGAGCUCCCACAAAUUCGAGGACCCCUGAAGAAGAUUGUUUGCAUACUUACUGCUCCAGACAUUAGAAAGUGCCUUCUCGGUACCAGGGUCAGAGACCAAGAGGACAACUGAUCUUAGAAUCUGGAGAAAAGGGAGCUCUGUUCCACUUUUUGUGGUCACACGGCAUUCUACAUAGUGGAUGUGAAAGGAAAAAUUAAACCUCAAACCAAGUCGCUCCGAGGAGACGAGGUACAUGUUGAUUCUGUCGGCAUCUGGAAAGUGGGAUUCGGGAAUGCAUUUUGCAAAAUUGUGCUUUCCAAGGAAAGGAAAGAAAAACAGAUAUAGGGCAGUAUGUUGCAAGGUUCUUGUCAAAGGAAGAAGAUCCAAGGACGAAUGUUGCAAGACUGUGCUGCUAAAGGAAGUGGCUUCUUAGCUCAUUUGAUCUGGAACAAAGCUUACAGAUUAUCUUGGCCACUCCCCUGGCUGGACAGAAGGGGAAACUAAGGCUCGGGGAGGGGAAGGCCUGUGCCCAAGGCCAGGCUGGGAGUUCCUGACAAGCUGGCAUUACUAGGCUUCUCAACCACCUCCUGCCUGCUGCCUUUCUUCUAGCCCUCGAGCACGGGUCACGACCACUUCUGGUUUUGCUCCAGGCCCCUAGCCCACCCUCCACCCUCACAUUCUCUUGGACAGCAUCCCUGGUCACAAGAUAGGACUCAAUCUGGGAACUUGGAUCUCCACCUGCCAGAUACCAGGGGCCAAAGCCAGUAAGAGGCUGGGGCGAGCUGGAGAGGAAGGAGCUGAGUCUGAUGAUGUGGCCUGACCUCAGAAAGGAAGCCUGGUCACCAGGGGGAAUUUCCCCGGGGUGAGGUCUCAUGUCUAUGCAAAUGAUGCACUCCAAUUAACCUGGACCCCAGAACGGGAGAGGGGCAAAGGGAGACAGCACUGUGCUAGGCUCCUCCUGUGCUGCGUCUCAUCUUGUCCCCAGGACAGCCACCUAGGUAGGAAAGCGGGGGGGUGUGGCGGGGGGGGGGGGGCUGAGGCCCAGUGAAGGGAAGGCAGGUCUGCCCCAGAGAACGCAGUGCACCCCCAAGGGGACACCAGGCCUUGGAGAGCAAUGCCGAGGGUGGAGUUGGAGCUGCUGCUGUUGCCGCUGACCAGAGUGACAGUGACAAGGCUCGAGUGGGAGAAGCCUAGCAAAGUUUCAUUUUGGGUUUCCAUCUCACUCACCUGGGGACUUUUGUCCUGGGGACAGCUAAAAGGCAAGCGGGGACGUAGGGACCCUGACUCCGCUUGGGCAAAUCCCUGCACUCAGGUUUUCCAAAGCCCGAAGGUGGGGUGUGCAGCAGUGGCACUGUUAACCCUUUCACCGCCAGCUUCUAGAACACUCCUUGGAAAGUGGACCGAGUCGGGACGGGGGCUGUUGACAGCAAAUCUCUCCCUCCUGCCUCUUUACAUUUCACUCAGUUGAGCCUCACUACUCCACAAAGACUUCCCUGGGGAUUUCGUUCCUCUCAAAGGCGGAUCCCGCUUACUGCCUGGUUCUCCAAGGAGCUGGUCUUGCCUCCCCCAGAGCAGGGCUGCAAACAGGAGCAGAGCUCAAGUCCAGAGCAUUUGGGCGCAAAGUUUGCUCUCCACAGAGCCUGGUUGUUUGUUCUGCUGUCGAAGAACAUACCCGAGAGCAGGCAGGUCAGUGAUUCCCGGAGUUGUGUGCCACACACUAAGGCUGUGUGCCAAGGAAAGUAUGAGUGCAUACGUGCUCUGGUGAGCGCGUGUGAAAGGCGAGUCUAGGUACUUGUGUGAGGAGUUUCGUGUAGUACGCAUAUGGACAACAGUAUCUGUAUUUCUGAGCGGCGUAUUUGUGGGCCUAAUCAUUUUAUCUUCCCGUGUGGUCCACAGUGUGCAUUUCUGUGUGUGUGUUACCAGCAGUGUGCUUCUGAUUCUGGGAUAUACAUGGUGUGUCCCCAUGGGUAUGGCUGGCAGUGAUGUGGAAUUCUGUGUGUGUGAGAAGUGGGAUUUGGGGGCUUUGAGUGGACACCAGCCGUGUGGGAGAACAGAAAUCACUAGCCCAGCACAGACUUGGGAUCUCUAGAUCCAUUCCCCACCCUCCCUGCUCACCUAUCAGGCCCUCCCAGCCCCGCCCAUGGCUAUCUCCAGGUCAAGGUCCAAGGCCAUCCCAAUGAGGUAGCCACUAGGUGGUUCUGGCUGCAGCUGGCAGCACACUAGGCAGAUGGGGGUAGCUGAGAGGGAGGGGUGAGACCGUCCCACAGAAGGAAAUGCAUGUUCUGCAAACUGCUACAACAGCUGGCCCAGGGGAAGGGGCCAUUGCCAGACAGCUCCCGUAUGGCUUCUCCAGUUCUCACCUGAGAGGUGGGCAGUGAGAUGGCCUGCACUGGAGGUCUCCGGCCUCACAUGCUGCUUUUAAAAGCACCUGCUGCCUUUGGGCUCCCGGGUAAUGACAUUACCUCUGGCUUUGUAUCUCCCUCCCUCUCUAAUCCCCCAUGGCAGAUUGGGCAGUUUCCUUGGUUUCUCACACCACCAUGUUUUUCUUAAGGCUCUUUUCUCCAUGUCUGCUUUCCUGCCCUGGCUCCUGUCCUCAUCCUUCUAUAUCGGAGGAACACUGCAAGCCAGUCCAAUGGUCUCCCAGCCCGUUUCCUUCUUCACACUGGCCACAGAGAUGUCUUUCUAAAGGACAUCUCUACUCCUGUCCCUUGCACCUUUGGGGCUGGCCAAGGCCUGGAGGGUAAGGUCCACACUUUAGCCUGGACUCCCCUUCUGGGUUCUUCUCCUUUAUGAAAUGGAACCUAGCCUACUUAUUAAUACCAAAGAGCUGAUAUUUAUUGAGUUCUUAUGUCCCAGAUAGUGUGCUCAGAGAUGUGCAUGCAUUGGCUUCUUUGAUUCACAACAACCUUGUGAAAUAGCGACCUUUGUCAUUCCCAUUUUACAGAUGAGGAAAUCAAGGCAUAGGGAGGCCAAGUGACUUAUCUACUUCUAAGUGGCUGACUGGGAUUCGAUCCAGCCGGCCUGCCUGCCUCCAUAGGUUAACCUCUGAGUAGAGGGCUCAGUUAAGAACUAGAAUUUCCUGCUUGCCUAACCCAACUGUAAAGUGAGGAAGUCUGCCUGGGGAAACGUGAGGUCUAAGAGGCCUGUUAGAACACCGAUGUGCUGCUUUUGGGUUCUGAAAUUCGGGUUGGGCAACUUGACACUUCUCCCUCCCAUUCUCAGCUCAGCCUGGCUUCCGUAACCAAGAGGAGGAAGACCUGUGAGUAGUGAGCAGAGCAGGAAUCAGGAGACCCAGGUGCUAACCCCAGACCUAGCCUUUAGUAAGACCAUGGUCACUGGGUCUUGAUUUUUGAACUCCUGAAACAAGAGCGUUGGUUUGGAUGAGCUGCAAGACCAUUUCCAGCUCAAUCCACAUGUGUCCUGUACCUUCAGGCAGUUUGACCGCUUGGACCCUUGGUUUCCUCAUUAGAAUAAGGGUGAUCACCCUUGCCCUCCUCCCGAGUGAUUACCCAUUAUUCUCAGCAAAGCUGGGGCACAGUAAACAUCAGGGGGUUCCAGAUAGCCAGCAGUUCCCACACCGCUGUCCAACAGCUGGAAAUGUGGCCGUGGCAGUUCUCAAAUAGCGUCUCUCUGCUCGGGUUAGAAGGGCAACCGCCUUCCGGCCAGUCACUUCAGAUGUUUCCCUGUGGCCCCAAAGAGCGAGGUUGGAGCUUCCCAGUCUGGAGGUUCUGAGAAGGGUUCACUCUGAACGGAAAAUGCAGGGCUGGAGGCAGGAGGCCGGGCGAAGAGCAAGGGGCGGAGCUGGGGAGAGGCUGAGAGAGAAGCCCUGUGGCAGAAGGGGGAAGAAGGAAGACAGUGGGAGAAGACAUGGGCGGGGGUCCAAGAGCACCAGAUGGGGCAGGACUGCAGGGUUCCAGUUCUGCCUGCCGCAGAAACGCUAAGUGCCCUUGGGACAGUUGUCUGUGAGAGGGAGAGGGAGGUGAGACUUUCCGAGGGCCCCUUCCACACUUAGAACAUCACCACCAUCCUCCUUUUCUCCCAUUUUGAGACAGCAGUGGUUUGGGCUUCUGCUUUCUCUUUCCUUUUAGUUUUAAUUUAGUCCCCCGCCACUUCUCUCCAUUGAACUUUGGCCACAGAAGCAAUCUCCGGUGUCAUUUAACAGCGUAUUUUUGGAGUAAGCUGGGUGACAGGGACACUCAAAUGUCCGCUCUCAAGGAUUAGGAGGCAACAGUCUUAAGUUUUGAUAUCUUUACUAUCCACCACAUAUGGCACAGCAUACAGGAGGCAUUCCAGAAGUGUAAGCUGCAAGAGUGAAUGAAUGAACGAACGAACGAAUGAAUGAAUGAAGUGCAGGGAUUCUGAAUAGUGGCUGCUGCCUCCUCUGCCAGAGCUCCAAGGGAAAAAAAAAUGUGAUUUGCUCUGCAGGCACCUGAGUCUUAAGUGGGAUUGUUGCUUUAGCCUUCCAACUGGCCACCCUUCCCUCACACAGUUGGUUUUUCUCAAGUGUGUGGCUAGAUGCAUACCUUCCCUCUAAGAACCUCCAAAGGCUCCCCUGUGGUGUAAGAUAAAAUCCUGACAUUCCCCCAUAGUUGGGUGCACACUCCCAUUUCUAAUGCCGUCUGCCUCAUCCCACAAGCCCUAAGGGUCUCCCUCCUACUAGAGACCAAUCCCAGAAUGCAACCCACCUUAACUGAAAAGCAAGUGAAAAUUGCACCUUGAGGAACUACAACAGGCUUGUACAUUGCGAGUGAUCAGUUUCAGCUAUCCUCAGUCCUGGUUUCUGGGAAUUCGAGACUUUCCUGGGCUGCUUGUGUGUUCCCCUUGGCCUCAGGGGGCCUCCCCCUUCUAUUCCCUCCGAUUCCAUCACUCGUUCCUUGCCACUCCCAGAACUGUUCUUCCCUUGACACAUGUUUUUAAGGUGCUUUCAUGUUUGCUUUUGGGUGCCUCUGUGAUCUGCAGUUGACUUGAUAGCAGAAUCAGAAAACAUCUUGGGAUCCACUUAUCAGCCUCCUACAACGGGGCCUGGCUCUGGGCAGGUGGUGCCCGACAGCUGACUCCGGGCAAGGCAGGCCCCUGCCGAGUACUUCCCUGCAUUACCUCAUUUCCUCCUCAAAGGCUAAGAGAUGGGUGGAACUGGACGCCCUGUUCUCUAGAUGAGGAAACUGAGGCUCAGAAAUGCCAUGCUCACGGUCAGUUAGCGGCAAGGGCCUGACUCCACAGCUUUUAACCACUUUGUUAAUUUGUCUUUUGAUAAUAGUUGCAGUAAGUUGGGUAAAUACCCAAAAAAGCUCUCAGCUGACUCUCCUGGGAUGUGGGUUCCCAGCCUGGUGGAGGGAAGAAAGUUGAGGACAGAACAAGAUAAACCAUCUUGCUUUCAGCCUCAUUAUGGCAGAGAUGAAGAUAGGACUCUUUAAAACCACUGGGUCCAGGGGCGCCUGGGUGGCUGAGUCAGUUAAGCGUCCGACUUUGUCUCAGGUCAUGAUCUCAUGGUUUGUGGGUUCGAGCCCCAAGUUGGGCUCUGUGCUGACAGCUCAGAGCCGGGAGCCUGCUUUGGAUUCUGUGUCUCCCUCUCUAUCUGCCCCUCCCCUGCUCACGCUCUGUCUCUCUCUCUCAAAAACAAAUAAACAUUUAAAAAAAUUAAAAAAAAAUCGUUGGAUCCAACCCCUCACUGUACAAAUGUAGAAACUGAGGCCCAGUAAGGGCAGUGGCGGGCCCAAG